AUUGAACGCUGGCGGCAUGCCUUACACAUGCAAGUCGAACGGCAGCACGGGAGCAAUCCUGGUGGCGAGUGGCGAACGGGUGAGUAAUAUAUCGGAACGUGCCCAGUAGUGGGGGAUAACUGCUCGAAAGAGCAGCUAAUACCGCAUACGACCUGAGGGUGAAAGGGGGGGAUCGCAAGACCUCUCGCUAUUGGAGCGGCCGAUAUCAGAUUAGCUAGUUGGUGGGGUAAAGGCCUACCAAGGCAACGAUCGGUAGUUGGUCUGAGAGGACGACCAGCCACACUGGGACUGGAACACGGCCCAGACUCCUACGGGAGGCAGCAGUGGGGAAUUUUGGACAAUGGGCGCAAGCCUGAUCCAGCAAUGCCGCAUGCAGGAAGAAGGCCUUCGGGUUGUAAACUGCUUUUGUCAGGGAAGAAAUCCUCUAGGUUAAUACCCUUGGGGGGAUGACGGUACCUGAAGAAUAAGCACCGGCUAACUACGUGCCAGCCGCCGCCGUAAUAC
rnacentral:rRNA from 1 species